rnacentral:rRNA from 1 species
UACGUAGGGGGCAAGCGUUGUCCGGAUUUAUUGGGCGUAAAGAGCGUGUAGGCGGCCAUACAGGUCAGCUGUGAAAACUCGAGGCUCAACCUCGAGACGUCGGUUGAAACCGUAUGGCUAGAGUCCGGAAGAGGAGAGUGGAAUUCCCGGUGUAGCGGUGAAAUGCGCAGAUAUCGGGAAGAACACCAGUGGCGAAGGCGGCGACCUGGACAGAUAUUGACGCUGAGGUGCGAAAGCGUGGGGAGCAAACAGG